UCUGUGACAGUAACUGGUUUGUGAAGAGGUGUUGUCCAUCUGUUUUUUUGUGAUUCUGUAAUCUAUAGCUAAACAGGUAAAUUCGGUUUCCUGUCUGGGAGAGAUGAACACCGAGGUUUUCCUUAUAUCUCUUUUGAAGAUACAGACAUCUGGGAUAUAGACAUUCACAGUGGAUUCUGAUGGUUUGAGGAACUUAAGUGUGUUGGUGAAAAAUCUGUGGGUAAUUCACCUAUAGAAUGGGAGCAGCUGUAAAAAAAAAAUAAAAAAUUGACUUCUGCUUGAUGCCAGUAAAUUUCUGAUUUGACUAACAGGUUGAUCCUAAGCAAUACUGAGAAGAGUUUUGCAACAUACGUUUUUUAGAAAUUAUGUUUAAUAGAGGCAAAGAGUGUUAUGAGUUAUCUUCUGUCACAAGUGACAUGAUUUUUAUAUCUAUUUUUAGAAAUGUACAUACAGAUUUUAUUUGAAGUUAUUGCAGAGUAUGUUUUCUUUCAUUCCUCCUAAUAGCAGGGUCUUCAAAAUCCAUUGAAACAUCAUCUUUAACUUUUAAAUUUGUAGCAUCACAGGAAAAGGUAUAUUUAACUAUUAGUCCCAUUGCAUGUAUUCAUAGGAGGAGCUUUAAAUGGCAGAACCAGCAGAAAGAACUUCAGACUUAAGAAACAUUUGAGUAUAUGUAUUGUAUAUAAGAGAAGAUAUUAGUUGGUUCAUGUUGACAGCCUCUAGGGACUUGAUAUGGGAUCAGGAUGCCGCCAUGCUUGUGGUUUUGGAACUGUGAAAGUGUGUACCAUUCUACAACUGUAUUAUGUGUUUUGAUACUCCUUGAAAAAUACUGGGAAAAAAAAAUCAACUGUUCCCUGAAUAUUCAAAACAUCCCUUUAAAAUAAGGGAUAUUCACAUGGUUAUCUUUCCCAUCUUUUUAGUUUACCAUGUUUUAGUAUUUCCUUAGAAUGAAAUCAAUCUGUGAAGCUGUGUUAAAUCAGCUUUUUAGAAGUGGCUGAUACUCAAAAUGCAUGUGUAGAAAUGGCAGCACAGUCCGAGCAGAUGAUGAACAACAUCAGUUGAUGUAUUGCCCUAUAACAAAAGAAGGGAGGUGAAGCCAGCUAGUUGGAAAAAGUAUUGUUUCAUCAGAGUUCGGUAGGUGUUUCCUCAUUUUCUCUCAUUUGUCUUCUCUCUUUUUGGAAAAAAAAUCAUUUUAUUUUCUGAAAUGGGAGAAGAGAAUUGACAGAGUACUUCACCUUUGUCUUUGGCUCUAAUUCAGCAGAUGAGAUAAUAACUUAAAUGUACCGUAUCCCACAAGUGUCAUGCACAACUAAAUGUGUUAGCUCUAUUUAGUCACGAUAUCCUAAAUGAGAUAUGCUAACUCAUGCAGCAGUGAGUUCAGCACAGGGUUUUACCUGCCCAGUUUUAGCUCUUUCCAAAAGCAGUACGAGUAUGUACGAACACCUUAAUGAACCCUGGGCUCAAAGGUGCAGCACCUUCUCUAACCAAGAGUACCAUUUGCGUCAGCAUGGAAAUUGGAGCCUAACAAUAUAAAUUUUGCUAUUUCCUGCUGGUUUUAAUAAUUCCAUUUGCACAAAACCCCAUUCAGAUUUCUUAACAAUAUUGUGAAUUUCUCCAAAGGGAAAACAGGAAUUAUGUUGUGGUUACUUGUAUAGUAGUUUGGUCGGUUUUGCUUCCUGGACUCUUCUCUCUUACUUGGGAAUUGGUUAACAGUAUGUUCUCUUCUGAAAUUAGAUUAAGAAAAUACUUUUCUAAGAGAAAGUCAUUUGGCAUACUGUGGGGUUUGUUUCUGCCAAAGUAUAGCUAGAUACGGCAGUUGACAGAGUUUCUUUUGAGGUUACUUUGCUACUACAGUUGUUCUAGGAAGUUUUGUUUCUUUUCUUUUUCUUAGCAUUUAAACAAGUCCCCCCGGUGCGGGGGGGAUUAUCCCCCCUGGGGAAUAUCUGAUUAUCCCAAAAGCAAAGACUGUUUAAGUCAAGAAAUGCUCUUUCUAAAGAACCUUUAGUUCUGCUGUGGCUCUCUUACUUGGGUAGUAGCUCCUCUACGUUAAUCUGUUGUCUGAGCCAAAAGGAACACAGGCUGCUGCUGGACACAAGGAAGAAAACCCCUUUGUAGCAGAGCUGAUGGCCCUCAAAGAGAUGGAGUCCUGCUGGAGGGGUGAUCCAAGCUUUCAGACUGUGCUCCAAAACUAUGCAUUUGCUUUUUCUUCCUCAGCUGCUGAAUUCUGCUGCUUUCAGUCUCAUCUGGCAAGGAACAGAGCCACAUAAACAUCUAAAUCAAUGGUCAUCACCUUCCCCAACCAUUAUUUUGAGGGUGCAACUGCAUUUAAGGAAUAGCCAUUAUCUAACAGCAGAGCUGAGCAGUGUUGGCUUGCAGAAGGAUAAAGUCUGUCCAGAUGUGCUGCACUCAGCUGGAAGGAGAGGAUGAGCCUUAGAUCUCUAUAUCCCUUGAAAGGGGGGAGUUGAGAAUGGAAAAGAAUCAAGUGUGUAUCCCAGGAAUCUUUUGUCCAUCCCUUGGGAGAGUUUUGGUCAGUGCAAAGCUUAGCAUAAGCUGGAGUCCUCUAAGUCUUUAUGAAAGCAAACAGAGCUGUCAAAUUGAAAAUGUUUUCAGCGUGGAGCACAAGCCUACUCCUUUCAAACCUCAUCAAAAUUAACUUGAGAACACUUUUAGAAGAAGAGAAAUGCUGCAGAGAAACAGCUGCAGCGUGUUUGAUCCUCCUUUCUUUUGUGGGACCUGUGGAACUGUCAAAGCUUAGAUCUCUGAAAGGUUACUUGUUCAAGGAAAAUGUCUACAGCUCAGCAGUGACCUGGAACAAAUUCUCCAUCAUGAGGGGAAAAGAAUGCUGACUAAAUGCCUUCCUAAUGAGAGCAAAACAGAGGGAACCUGAGACAAAUUCAGAACCUGAGUUACAAAGCAGGAGAACCAGCGGGGAAAGUGAAGCAAUAGGAGCUUCGCAAGAGGCAGCAGAAACCCGCCCUGAGUGCAUUUGCCACACAAAGCUGUUGAAAUGUUGCUCCCUUUCUAGGGAUAAUGCAGCAGCCUUUUUAAUGAUGGUUGUUGCAGAUAAUGUGGCAGCUGUGAUGAAAUAUAACCCAGGCAGUGAAGCAGAGAGAGCUUCAGACUUAUUGGAGUCUAAGAGAGGAGGGACAAGCACCAGACAGGUUAAGUGACAUGCUGAAAAGAGCUGAAGGACAUCCAGUAAUGAGAAAGGUAGAAAAUUAUAUAGAAAAAUUGAAGUAAAUAAUGGGCCUCAAAAACAUUUUGAGAUUUUUUUCCUAAUAAAACUUUCCAGAUUCACAAGAAGUUUUGUGAACCAGAGCAUUCCACGAGCCAGUUAAUUCUGGAAUAGUGUAGUAUGCUAUGACACAAAAGUCCCUAAAGAAUUUUUAAAUAAUUGGGAUUAUAUUCAUCAAUGGACAUUUCAGGGAAAUAAACAGUUUUUUCCUCUUAUGAGGUAAAAUAUUUAUGCUUGUAUACUUAUGGUCUCGUGUCUUCCAGAAGAUUUCUCUGACACCUUGGACAGAGUUCUCAGGGCUUCUUCCACUGCCAUCCCAGCUUCUUGCAGUCUAAAGGACAGAUUUCCAUGCAAUGUUCUCAUUUUUCAUGCCUUCUAAUAGAAAACUGAACUCACCAUUGGAAUGCAUUGAAAAUUUGUGGUGGGACUGAAAACUGGCUUGAAGGUUUAAGAUCUUAUGAACCUUUGUGCUUCACUUGUUUUUACUGUGUAAAAAAUGUAAUGAACGUGGUCCAGCUCAUAGAGUGGUAAAAAAUUUUACUACAUUAAUGUGUAUAUACAGAAGUAGCAGAAUUGAACAGGUCAUAAAAUAUUGUUUGACUUUCUAAAUAGUGCAUUAAUUUUAAAAUCAUGAAGAGCAUGGAUAUAAUGUCACAAUGCUUUUCCUUCUAAUGCAUAGCAAAUUGUGGAUUUCACUUCAGCUAUUCCAGGCAUCCUGAAAUCUUGGUAGUUUUAUAAGUUUUAUUAUUCAUUAUUUAUUAUUUAUUAUUAUUCAUUAUUAUUUAUUAUUCUCAACUAUAAAUUCAGUUAAUUUUCCUGUCCCGAUGAACUAUGAAAAUUGGCAGGGCUUUCAGGUAGAUAUGAAAUACACAUUUAACAGAACUCGGGAUCAGGCCAAGAUUGAAACAAUAUCAAAAGCAAAAUAUUUCCAAUCACAGGCAUUAUAGUAUGACUACUCAAGUAUUUACAUUUUGUUUUACUGUAUAGAAUAAAUUUUAGUAACUUGUAUUCAAGAUGGAGAAAUGGAUUAUGGGAUCAAAUUUCAGCAUAUAUGAUCUUGCUCACAUGAACUUUUUGCAAGUUGGUGUGAUGCUGAAUUUGCCCUUCUGCUCAAUCCAAAUAUUAGUCAUAAUUUCCAUAGUGUGUAAAUGUUCAUGUGAAUGAUAACAUUUCAUUCCCAUCAUAUGUCAGCUCAUGUUACUGCUUUGGGAAUAUCUAUUGUAACUGUUAUCCUUUCGUACACUGUGCUGUCGUCACCAUCGCUGUGGCUAAUCCACUACUAUUUGGCAAGAAAACUGUUUAUCCAUUCUGUGUUAGAGUAGAUAGCGGAAGUCAAAGCUGGAAGAGGAGGCACAAAAUGUACAUUGUGUUUGUUUUCCAGCAUAUUAACAUGCUAGCUGAGCUAACAUGGAGGAGAUGACCAAGUGUUUUGGGUAUUAGACUAAUUUUGUCAUGGGGUUUGAUGGCAUACUACCAGAUAAACUACAAGGAUACUGUCACCAGGAGUAGCAGGAUAGUAGUAAAGACCAUGUUCCUGUAGAUUUGAUAACUAACCUGCACUUUUUCUGUAGUUUGUUGUGUGAAGAAUCACUUACACCCUGAAUACUAACCUUGAUCAACUUGAAUUGCUGCAUUAAAGUAGGAAUGUUUAUGGUUCAGUGUCAAUUUCCUCCACUUUUGACAAUCUUUGUUUUGGCUGCUAAUGGCUCAUACAGCAGCUGUUUUUGAUACCACAAGCCCCAAUGUUGCAUAGAGAAAGAAACAAGCCAAGGGUCAUCCCAUCUGAGGAACAACAGAAGAAAUAUUUACCCCAUACCCUUACUUCUUUUGAGUUUGAGGUUGUUUGGUUUCUUCCACUCUGUUUUUCAGAGUAUGUUAGUUUAUUCUAUUAGGUGUUUAUGCUAGGAAAAAAAACAAACCAAAACUAGUUGCUCUAUCCACCCUCAGGAAAAAGAGAGACAAGAAAAUUAUCACGGGAAACUUAAUCUGUCUGUCUCUCCAAAAGCUGAAUUAGCAAGUACAAAAGAAUGGACUAAAUCUUGUUGCAACUCAUAUAACUAUUUAACUACUACUUUAAAUGCAUUGCUUCCAUUUGAUUCUUAACUAAGAGCUACUCACCAUACUCUACCUCCUUGUGUUCUUGCUGAUUAGCAAGAAAUCAUACAGCUCAGCUGUGACUUUGUUCAAUAUUUGUGCAUUUGCCAAUUUUUGAAUGAGUUUUCCCCCUCAACUAAGUGUGUCUGUCUUGUCCAGCUCAGCCCUGUGAUGGCAACGGUUUUCAGUCUGCUGUGUUCUAGGUAGUUCUUGGGAAGAUGCACUAAGCAUUUCUUAUUCUCAAACAGAAGCAAAGGGAAGAAAAGCCAAACACCCCCCAAACCAUCAAGGUCUUUGCUGUAAAGGCAUAGUUAAUAUUAAAAAAAUUAGGAGAGAAUACUUCUUGCAGCCUGAUUUCUGACAUUGUCUGUGUGUUUGACAGUAGCCUUCAUGUCACUGAGCACACAUGCUGCUUUGCCACCCCUGCCUCUCAGGGAUCCCCCAUCCCUGACUGCACAGGAGCCCACCAGCUGACUGUGCCUCUGUGCUGCCAGCGUGCAGCUAGCCCAGGAGUUUGUGCUUGAAAGCAGGCAGUGAUUGACUGUACCCACGAAGCAUUGAAGGAAAUGAAACAGCAGGAAGAACCAGAGUUUUAUCUUAUUUUUGUUUGGCUUGGGGUUUUUUUGUCCUAACUCUAAUAAGCAAGACUGACGUAAUUGCAAUCUGGGGAAGCAUACAGUAUUAUAUUCUAUUCCUGUGUUACUGAUUAGGAAUGAUGCAGAGAAUGAUGCAUGCUUAUGAAGAGGGAAUGUCUAGAGAUUUUACUAAAGGGUUUGACAAGGUUCACUGAGAUUAAUGUUGUGAUCAACAAACGGUUAUUUACUACUGCUCCUAAUAUAUUCCUUUCUGAAUUCAUUGUGCCAGCAUGUCACUGUCAUAUUUUCUGGAAAAAUCCCCUUGUUCAUGAUUUCUCUCCUGGGAAGCUGAGAGGCUUCAGGGGAAAAGGAAAACAAUAUUAUCCCAUUUGCUUCUCUUGCGUUUUUCUGGUUUGGAAUGUAGUUAGAGAUUGUUUAUGCAACAGGUAGUUGUUUCAUUGAUUUCAUUUAAAUUGUUUUUGACUUAUUGGCCAAGUACGGCCCAGCUAUAUCAAACUCUGGAGAGAGAGUCACGAAAUUCUUUAAUAUCUAUUAGCCUUCUGUCUAUAUAAUUUCUGUAUUCUUUAGUAUAGUUUAGUAUUCUUUUAUUAUAAUGUAAAUAACAGAAUAAUAAAUUAGCCUUCUAAAAACAUAGAGUCAAAUUCAUCAUUUCUUUCUUCAUCUGGGAGCCCCGCAAAUACAAGACCAGUAAGCAGCUGUGGAAAUAACAGGAACUUUUGUCUAGAUUCAGGCUUCUGUUGCAAGCUGUGCUGAAGCUUUUUCUCUUAAAAGAAGUUUCACCUUUUUAAAGCAAUGGAAAUGCAAGGCAAGUUCAAG